AAAUUGAAGAGUUUGAUCAUGGCUCAGAUUGAACGCUGGCGGCAGGCCUAACACAUGCAAGUCGAACGGUAACAGAAAGCAGCUUGCUGCUUUGCUGACGAGUGGCGGACGGGUGAGUAAUGUCUGGGAAACUGCCUGAUGGAGGGGGAUAACUACUGGAAACGGUAGCUAAUACCGCAUAACGUCGCAAGACCAAAGAGGGGGACCUUCGGGCCUCUUGCCAUCGGAUGUGCCCAGAUGGGAUUAGC
rnacentral:rRNA from 1 species